UACGUAGGGUGCAAGCGUUGUCCGGAAUUAUUGGGCGUAAAGAGCGCGUAGGCGGUCUGUUGCGUCUGCUGUGAAAACUCGGGGCUUAACCCCGGGCCUGCAGUGGGUACGGGCAGACUGGAGUACUGCAGGGGAGACUGGAAUUCCUGGUGUAGCGGUGGAAUGCGCAGAUAUCAGGAGGAACACCGGUGGCGAAGGCGGGUCUCUGGGCAGUAACUGACGCUGAGGAGCGAAAGCGUGGGGAGCGAACAGG
rnacentral:rRNA from 1 species